rnacentral:rRNA from 1 species
GUUAGGAAUAUUGGACAAUGGGCGCAAGCCUGAUCCAGCCAUGCCGCGUGAGUGAUGAAGGCCUUCGGGUUGUAAAGCUCUUUAGUCCACGAAUAUAAUGACUGUAGUGGAAGAAUAAGCCCCGGCUAACUUCGUGCCAGCAGCCGCGGUAAUACGAAGGGGGCGAGCGUUAUUCGGAAUCACUGGGCGUAAAGCGUGCGUAGGCUGUUUUGUAAGUCAGAAGUGAAAGCCCAGGGCUUAACCCUGGAAUUGCUUUUGAAACUACAAGACUCGAAUUCGGGAGAGGAUAGCGGAAUUGUCAGUGUAGCAGUGAAAUGCGUAGAUAUUGACAGGAACACCAGUGGCGCAAGUGGCUAUCUGGACCGAUAUUGACGCUGAGGCACGAAAGCGUGGGGAGCAAACAGGAUUAGAAACCCGGGUAGUCC